rnacentral:rRNA from 1 species
UGGGGAAUAUUGCACAAUGGGCGAAAGCCUGAUGCAGCAACGCCGCGUGAGUGAUGAGGGCCUUCGGGUUGUAAAGCUCUGUCUUUUGGGACGAUAAUGACGGUACCAAAGGAGGAAGCCACGGCUAACUACGUGCCAGCAGCCGCGGUAAUACGUAGGUGGCAAGCGUUGUCCGGAUUUACUGGGCGUAAAGGAUGCGUAGGCGGAUUUUUAAGUGAGAUGUGAAAACCCUAAGCUUAACUUGGGGACUGCAUUUCAUACUGGAAAUCUAGAGUGCGGGAGAGGAGAAUGGAAUUCCUAGUGUAGCGGUGAAAUGCGUAGAGAUUAGGAAGAACACCAGUGGCGAAGGCGAUUCUCUGGACCGUAACUGACGCUGAGGCAUGAAAGCGUGGGUAGCAAACAGGAUUAGAUACCCUGGUAGUCCACGCCGUAAACGAUGAGUACUAGGUGUAGGAGGUAUCGACCCCUUCUGUGCCGCAGUUAACACAAUAAGUACUCCGCCUGGGAAGUACGAUCGCAAGAUUAAAACUUAAAGGAAUUGACGGGGGUCAUAGCUGUUUCCU